CUUGUGUACAAUUUGGAAAUUAGUAUGGCGUUCAUUAUCACUGGACUAGUAUAUAUUUGUUUAGGGGCCAGCUGAGGGACGCCUCCGGAUGCGGGAAUUUCUCGCUACAUUGAAGACCUGUUGGUGACCCUCUGCUGUUGUUUUUUAUUUGGUCGGGUUGUUGUCUCUUUGACACAUUCCCCAUUUCCAUUCUCAAUUUUA
rnacentral:lncRNA from 1 species